UACGUAGGGGGCAAGCGUUGUCCGGAUUUAUUGGGCGUAAAGAGCGUGUAGGCGGCCAGAUAGGUCCGUUGUGAAAACUCGAGGCUCAACCUCGAGACGCCGAUGGAAACCAUUUGGCUAGAGUCCGGAAGAGGAGAGUGGAAUUCCUGGUGUAGCGGUGAAAUGCGCAGAUAUCAGGAAGAACACCCGUGGCUAAGGCGGUUCUCUAGUACGGUACUGACGCUGAGACGCGAAAGCGUGGGGAGCGAACAGG
rnacentral:rRNA from 1 species